GAUGCUUAAAGGAUGUAGGCUGAAAUAGAAGAAUUUACACAAAUGUGAUUUAUGCUUCUUGCAAGCUGCCUUUAUAAGAAUUCUGAGCUUUCAUAUUUGCAGAUCUCAGGUUAGUGGGUUUUACAGGCUAUUCAGCUAAUUCAGCCCCAUCUUUCAAACAUCUGUUGCCUCUGAAAAGUUCUCAGUGUAAAGAGGAAACUGUUAUUUAUAAGAAGAAGCUGUCAAAGAUCAGCUAUGUUCAACAAUCUAAAGCAUCGCUUACGUACAUCAGCACUAAACUAUGCUCAUUUGGAUAGCAUGAAUGGCUAAUUUUAGCUUAAAAUUGGAAACAAUUAUGGGUUCAGGAAGAAAAGUAGGGCUGUGUGUCAUUAGUAAUUGAUUUCUUUUGUGGAAAAGCUUGAAAUGAGCAGUUAAGAAAAAAAUACCAACACAACAUUAAGUGAUGCAACCUGUCUUGUGCAAUAUGCAGAUGUUUCUCAGAUUUGUGUCUGUCUCAGGUGGAUGGAUACUUCUGGUGUCAUUCCCUCUCUUCCCUCUGCCUCUCUAUAAUACUUUCUGCAUCUUUCAGCUGCUGCUGUAGAAGUCUCAACUGGGAACAUUGUGCAACUCAUGUGCACAAGAGGAGAGUGGUAUGCCAUGGCAUAGGAAGCUGCGAAUCACUUGUUUUUGCAUUUCCUCCAGAUCCAUCUACCUGGCUUCUGCAGUGCUGAUGUGGUGGCGUGUGCUUGGGCAUCUGUUUGGAGUGAACCCAACUGCUCCUCGUGAGAAGCUGGGGGACAGAGGAACUGCAUGAUCAAGAAUUAGAUGUCCUUUCCUGAAUUGAAUACUGACAACAGGGUAAGUUGCUCAUUUGAAAUGAUUUCUUCCUGCUAGUGGAGAUGACAAAAUGCGUGGUACUUGUCCAGGAAAAAAAAUAUUUGAUUUUUCAGAGGUAAUGUAGAGUCCUG
rnacentral:lncRNA from 1 species